GACGAACCGAGCGAACGUUGUUCGGAAUCACUGGGCUUAAAGGGCGCGUAGGCGGGCUGUCAAGUUUGGGGUGAAAUCCCACGGCUCAACCGUGGAACUGCUCGGUAUACUGCCUGUCUUGUGCAACCUAGGGGCGAGCGGAACAGAUGGUGGAGCGGUGAAAUGCGUAGAUAUCAUCUGGAACGCCAAUGGUGAAAACAGCUCGCUGGGGGUUUGCAGACGCUGAGACACGAAAGCCAGGGGAGCGAACGGG
rnacentral:rRNA from 1 species